rfam:Danio rerio chromosome 25, GRCz11 reference primary assembly.
GGCCGGUUAGCUCAGCUGGUUAGAGCGUGGUGCUAAUAACGCCAAGGUCGCGGGUUCGAGACCCGUACUGGCCA